UACCUGACGUUUGUUUUACCUGACAUUUAUUGGCCCUGACAUUUGUCUGGGAAGUAAAAAUAAAGAAGUAAUAGCUUUUUACUUUUACUCAAAAUUGAUCAACAUUUCUUUAUUUAUUUUAUGUUUCCAUGACAUUAAAAAUAAAAAGAUUCAAUUACGCGUUUGAGAUUCAACAAUCUCCUGCUUUACUCAUUUAUAUAGAAGUAAUGUCAACGUUUUAAUCAUCGA